AUACGUAGGGGGCGAGCGUUGUCCGGAAUGAUUGGGCGUAAAGGGCGCGUAGGCGGCGCGGUAAGUCUGGAGUGAAAGUCCUGCUUUCAAGGUGGGAAUUGCUUUGUAUACUGCCGCGCUUGAGUGCAGGAGAGGUUAUCGGAAUUCCCGGUGUAGCGGUGAAAUGCGUAGAGAUCGUGAGGAACACCAGUGGCGAAGGCGGGUAACUGGACUACAACUGACGCUGAGGCGCGAAAGUGUGGGGAGCAAACAGGAUUAGAUACCCUGGUAGUCCACACUGUAAACGAUGAAUGCUAGGUGUAAGAGGUAUCGACCCCUUUUGUGCCGGAGUCAACACAAUAAGCAUUCCGCCUGGGGAGUACGGCCGCAAGGUUGAAACUCAAAGGAAUUGACGGGG
rnacentral:rRNA from 1 species